rnacentral:rRNA from 1 species
AAAUUGAAGAGUUUGAUCAUGGCUCAGAUUGAACGCUGGCGGCAGGCCUAACACAUGCAAGUCGAACGGUAACAGGAAGCAGCUUGCUGCUUUGCUGACGAGUGGCGGACGGGUGAGUAAUGUCUGGGAAACUGCCUGAUGGAGGGGGAUAACUACUGGAAACGGUGGCUAAUACCGCAUAACGUCGCAAGACCAAAGAGGGGGACCUUCGGGCCUCUUGCCAUCAGAUGUGCCCAGAUGGGAUUAGCUAGUUGGUGAGGUAACGGCUCACCAAGGCGACGAUCCCUAGCUGGUCUGAGAGGAUGACCAGCCACACUGGAACUGAGACACGGUCCAGACUCCUACGGGAGGCAGCAGUGGGGAAUAUUGCACAAUGGGCGCAAGCCUGAUGCAGCCAUGCCGCGUGUAUGAAGAAGGCCUUCGGGUUGUAAAAGUACUUUCAGCGGGGAGGAAGGUGUUGUGGUUAAUAACCGCAGCAAUUGACGUUACCCGCAGAAGAAGCACCGGCUAACUCCGUGCCAGCAGCCGCGGUAAUACGGAGGGUGCAAGCGUUAAUCGGAAUUACUGGGCGUAAAGCGCACGCAGGCGGUCUGUCAAGUCGGAUGUGAAAUCCCCGGGCUCAACCUGGGAACUGCAUUCGAAACUGGCAGGCUUGAGUCUUGUAGAGGGGGGUAGAAUUCCAGGUGUAGCGGUGAAAUGCGUAGAGAUCUGGAGGAAUACCGGUGGCGAAGGCGGCCCCCCUGGACAAAGACUGACGCUCAGGUGCGAAAGCGUGGGGAGCAAACAGGAUUAGAUACCCUGGUAGUCCACGCCGUAAACGAUGUCUACUUGGAGGUUGUGCCCUUGAGGCGUGGCUUCCGGAGCUAACGCGUUAAGUAGACCGCCUGGGGAGUACGGCCGCAAGGUUAAAACUCAAAUGAAUUGACGGGGGCCCGCACAAGCGGUGGAGCAUGUGGUUUAAUUCGAUGCAACGCGAAGAACCUUACCUGGUCUUGACAUCCACAGAAGAAUCCAGAGAUGGAUUUGUGCCUUCGGGAACUGUGAGACAGGUGCUGCAUGGCUGUCGUCAGCUCGUGUUGUGAAAUGUUGGGUUAAGUCCCGCAACGAGCGCAACCCUUAUCCUUUGUUGCCAGCGGUUAGGCCGGGAACUCAAAGGAGACUGCCAGUGAUAAACUGGAGGAAGGUGGGGAUGACGUCAAGUCAUCAUGGCCCUUACGACCAGGGCUACACACGUGCUACAAUGGCGCAUACAAAGAGAAGCGACCUCGCGAGAGCAAGCGGACCUCAUAAAGUGCGUCGUAGUCCGGAUUGGAGUCUGCAACUCGACUCCAUGAAGUCGGAAUCGCUAGUAAUCGUGGAUCAGAAUGCCACGGUGAAUACGUUCCCGGGCCUUGUACACACCGCCCGUCACACCAUGGGAGUGGGUUGCAAAAGAAGUAGGUAGCUUAACCUUCGGGAGGGCGCUUACCACUUUGUGAUUCAUGACUGGGGUGAAGUCGUAACAAGGUAACCGUAGGGGAACCUGCGGUUGGAUCACCUCCUUA